rnacentral:lncRNA from 1 species
GGGGCUGAAAGUGGCAUUUGAGAGAGAAGAUACUUCCUCUCGUAGUGGACACUUGUCUUUUCAGAAGAUUUAUACGACUGAGAGUCAAAACUUUUACCAGAGACUUUCAUAGUCAGUUUGAAUUCUGCAAAAUUUCUCUUUAUCUUCUGGAAUGUAUGCUCUAGACUUGGAGUGGCUCAAGCUCUUCGAUGUGAUCCUAUCAAUGUCAAGAGAAAGAAGCACUGAAGAGUCAUAAUUGUGUCCUGAUUUAUAAAUCGGAGACAGAGGGAGACGAAAACCACACUCCAGAAAGUAGCUUAAUCGGACUCACUACUAAGAUGUUAAAAGUGAAGAGGCUGGAAGAAUUCAACACGUGUUAUAACAGCAACCAGCUGGAGAAAAUGGCCUUUUUUCAGUGCAGGGAAGAGGUGGAGAAAGUGAAGUGUUUUCUGGAAAAAAAUUCUGGGGACCAGGAUUCAAGAUCUGGACAUAAUGAGCAACUUGGGAAACCUUCUAUUUGUCCUUGUAUUGGGAAAAGUUUCUGCCAGAACCAAGAACCACUGUCCGUAAGUGGAGGGAAGUUCAGACUGAAGAAAGAGGCAAAACCACUUUAGAGUCUUGCUCUGUCACCCAGGCUGGAGUGCGGUGGUGUGAUCUUGGCUCACUGCAACCUCUGCCCCCCAAGUUCAAGCGAUUCUCCUGCCUUGGCCUCCCGAGUAGCUGGGACUACAGAUGGAAUCUUGCUGUGUCUCCAGGCUGGAGUGUAGUGGCGCGAUCUCGGCUCACUGCAACCUCUGCCUCCCGGGUUCAAGCAAUUCUCCUGCCUCAGCCUCCCGAGUAGCUGGGACUACAGGUGCCAGCCAUCACGCCCGGCUAAUUUUUUGUAUUUUUAGUAGAGAUGGGGUUUCACCAUGUUGGCCAGGAUGGUCUCGAUCUCCUGACCUCGUGAUCUACCCGCCUCAGCCUCCCAAAGUGCUGGGAUUAUAGGCGUGAGCCACCGCGCCCAGCCUAGUCUCUGCUUUUUUAAAAAAAAUGUUAGGACAGUGGUCCCUAAACUUGUCUGUGUAUUAGAAUCACCUGGGAAAUCUUUAAAAAUUCUAAGGACCAGGUAAAUUAAAUUAUAAUCUCUGGGAAUAGGACUGAUUUUUGUAUUUUUAGUAGAGACGGGGUUUUGCCAUGUUCACCAGGCUGGUCUCGAACUCCUGACCUCAGGUGAUCCACCCGCCUCAGCCUCCCAAAGUGUUGGGAUUACAGGUGUGAGCCACCACAUCCAGCCCAGACUAAUUUUUCUGAUGACAAAUGCUGCUUGUUGAUGUGAAUUCUGAUAUGGCACACACUUGAGCCUCACUUUGUUAGCUAUUAAUUUGUGUUACUGAAUUUACAGGCCUGGAAUACAAUUUGUGCUUCUUUUUAAAUAAAUUUCAUACUUUUUUUUUAAUGGACUUGUAAUCUACCUGAACUUGAAUUUGUUGAGGGUUUACGCUAAUGAAAAUAACAGAAAGACAAACUGUGAGAUAUAUCAUGCCAUUUAUAAUUAAUAAAUCACCAAACAGAGGCACAAACUUCAAGGGCUAUAAAAUGCCACACAUUUUCACAGACAGUUAAUAGUAAAUUAUUUGGCACAGACCCUUCUGUAGCUGGGUAGGAAGUUACUGUAUUUAGUUGCUUUCAAACUCGUAAUUUUACCUGUGGAAGGGUGGCCCUCUUUUGACUCUUUCAAGAACUAUUAUAAAACAUGAGAUGUUUGUGUGCAUGUGUUGGGGGGAUUAUGCCUUACCCUUCCAGUUUACAGAAAUGCUGCUGGUUUGUUUCUUUUUAAUACCAUUGGUCUGGUCCUCCUCCCCUCCCCACCUUUCUCACUGAUAAAAAUUCAAUGUAC